CAGGAGAAGCAGGAGGAUCCUCCAUCCCAAAAACCUCCAAAAGGCGUUUAAUAGCAGCCAAACGAACCUCCUUCGAUUCGUUUUCCACUGGAAAUCGGUUUUCUGAGUAGUCAAUAGAAGGCCUAGAGUUAACCAGGCCAGCUAUAGAGACGAUGGAGAUGAAGACGACGGCGGAAAACAUGUCGAUCUGGAAACUUCGUGUUCAACUGAAGAGACUGAAUGAACACCUCAACAUCAGGAGCGUUUUAUAUGAAAUCCGUUAGCGCCGUUCAGGUCAUCGGUAAACAGCGAUAAAGAGGUGCUAUUUGGUCGCAAAUUUUGUUCAAGAGCACACAAAGUGAAUCCAGCCUUUCUUGCGCUGAAGGUUUGUUAUUUAGCUGUGUUGUAUCAGCUGUUUUAAAGCAUACCUUAGAAGACAGCGGUUUCCUGAGGUGCAGCUUCCCAAACAUCUCCCCACAUCUAUUUCCUGCAAGACAAUUAGCAAGACAAGAGACAGAGGCAAUCAGCUCACCACAAGCCGCUAACAUUCACCGGUGCGCUCGAAACCAAAGGCGGGGGACUGGGUUCUGUUCUCUUAACAUGAUAAACACUUUGAUUUGGCACCUGCUGGGGCCAUUUGUGAUCCUCUGGCUUCACACCUCUGAAGAGCUGCGACAGAUGGCCAAAGGUUUGCUCAAACAACUCCACAAAAGAGGAUAUUUGAAAACCCACCUUUAGUUUUUCUUCCUUGAGCCCGUCUUCAUUGUACGUGAUCUCAUAAUGAUAUUCCACAUAUGGGAUUCUGUAGCAGCCUUCUUUCAUAUCGCAUCCGGCCACCGUCUGAAUCAGCUCCACUUUAUUAGGCGUGUCCACAACAGCAGAAUCGAACUUAGUAGGAACGCAGGAAAAGCCCUCUGUGGAAAAUAAGUGUACAUUAUCCACGAUGAAGCUAACAUAUGCUGAAGGAAGUCCAGCAUGGAGGAGUAGCCUUGCAUUCCUGCCUCAAAGGAUGAGGGUUGCGCAUGGCCGCAGGUCGUUCGACACAUGCCCACAUCCACGUUCACUGGACUGCCUAAGAUAUCUGAAUAACAGCGGAUGGACAAAAAGACCGCUCCUGGUUUCUUCCUCAGUCACUAUUUGAUGUCGGGAUUCAAGACAUCAGCACAGCCUUAACAGUCCUGACACCCAGUGCAUCUUGGGAAGCAGAACUACGCUAAUGCUGUACAUAUUAACAAGGACAUUGACGAAGCUGAGAAACUGGCUACAAGGAAACUGAAUGAGCCUUCAGGGUGGACCUUUACUCCGGGAUGUCCAGCAGGGGGAGACUUUCUCACAGGUUCUUUCUGCAGUGGCACAGCUUUGGACGUCGCUCGGCCCUUCUGCUUGGCUGUGGGCAUCGCUCGGCUCUUCUGCAAGGCUGUGGACAUUGCUCAGCCUUUCUGCUCGGCUGUGGGCAUCGCUCGGCUCCCACUGGCAACGCUGGACAUUUUUCUGUUUGUACACUAGGGGGAUAUUGCUGCAGUUUGUUUAUCUAUGCCUUGUGUCUUUGUUUUGUUUUUUUGUAUCACGUACGUAAGCCCCGUCCUUUCCUUAUCCGUUCCUGCCUCUGCACACCUGUUCCUUGUGUUUCAAUGAUUGUCACUCCAUUUAUACCAGUUGUCUUGCAUCUGUUGAGUCCUUGUGUUUUUGUUCCUGUUUCUGUGUUCCCAUGUUUUGUGUUUACGGUUUCCUAGUGUUCCUAGUUAUUUUUUCUCUAAUUAAACCCCCUUUUACAUUA